CAACACGGUAAACGCACGUCUGUCGUUGAACUUGUGCUAUUUGCGUAGCGACGGAGCCUUAAUCCACGUUUAUUGCUCUAUUUUCCUUUGGACUGUUUGGAUUGGUUUCCCGUGCCACCGAAAUAACCAAACUCAACGACAAACGUUAAUUCUACGGUGAGAACCUCGAUGGUCUCUCCCGUUUAUUAUUUUAAGACGUGGCAAUAGGUACGCGCGACAUAGGACAAGAGAAAGAAGAAAAAAAGUAUGUAAAAAUCUUUCGUGCCAACUCGACUAUGUCUUACGGGAUAUCUACUGAGCUAAUGGCCGAUCGUGUUGAUACUUUAUUAAUUUAACGUUCACGAAAAUGGAUCUUCUUGUGCGGUUGUGAAUUAUUUCUUAUAAGAUGGACUAUUUAUGGAUCGGCUGCAUCGGACUGUACGCGAGUGAAUACUUUUGAUUUAACGUGAACGGUCAGUGUUGUGUCUAUGAAAAACUUUAUUUGGACGUAACUAUAGCAACCAGCCAGGACGUGGCGUACGAUUAGAGCGCAGUAGGUACCUUUCAACGGCGACAUUUCGCUUGGAGCCCCGAUGCUGCCGUUAUUUUCACUUGGACGAAUGAAACUGACUCGACCGAUGCGGAGUACAGAUACAGGCAAUAGGAAACGAGGAGGACGUACGGAUAAGGGGUAUCUGGUUAAGAGGAAUGGACCCGGUGGAUGCUGAGAGCGAAGAGAAUCGUAAACGAAGUGAAAUUAAAGACAAAGAAUUCAUCCCGAAGGACCCCAACCACGACAAUGGCGUAGGACGUCCGUGAAGUACUCAUUCUCGUUCUCACUGGUCUCCUCGUUCCACCCUCUGCGCACCCCAUUUCCCACACCCUUCUCAUUCAAUCAAUACCCGAUGCCGCACACCGCUACUAAACUUCCAGGACCUUCCCAGCCAGCCAGGACGCCAUCUCGAGGAUCCAGUACUACCAGGAUCCUCCGGGAGAGCGAACUUGAAGAUCUUCCAAUCACAUAAAAAAAUAAGGAUUGAACUACAAUUUAUUGAAAAGACAUACCGAAGCUACAGGAUGUAUUGACUAAUAGGAACUUGAAGGAGACGUAAAGGAGGUCCUGUCCGUGAUGCCCAGGGUGUGGGAUCCAAAUGGUUCCAUUAGUGGGCAGGAGUCGCGUCUGUGUUCGCUGAAAGGUACAUUGUCAAGCCACUGUACCAGGACACAGGAUGUAAUUACACGGGAGGCCUAAUGUACAAAGGAUUUCGGCGUACGUUUCCAGUCAGACAGGCAGGAGGGAAGGUACGCAAGGAACCAGACAGCCUGCCCGGCUGCCCGCCCAGGUCCUUGGGACGAAUGUUGGAUCAAGUGGGUUACGCGACGGUAUCGCAAACGUUUACAGAGGCACGACGGGAUACGUUAUCUUGUCCAUUAGCAACAUCAGCAGGACACGUGACUCACUUCACUCCCAAUUACCAGAGACAGUUCAUUAGACCCGGGACUGUGUCAAUCAAGAGCUGACAGUGGCGACCUCUGGUGGAAAGAGACAAAAAUACAAAUCCAAACUAUCCAAUAGUAAAAAUACUGACAAACAGUCAAAACUUACCAACGUGAAGUUGGCGCUCUUCAUAUAGCCAACUUCAGCUCAUUGGUCCUACCGACCAACUUCCACGGAAACGAACGAAACUCCGAAGCAGCUUCGCCCGUUAAAAUUCACUUCCAAUUAACAGCGGCUAAGCCGCGAAGAGUCGCCGACAGCGUCAAACAAGUGCAGUUCAUAGGUGCAAUUAAAUUAUGGGCAACCAUCAAGCGUGGGUUCGUUAGGUCGUCCGGGUAAUUUUUGUGGAUACGCCCGAAAGGACAGGACGUUUUCAAACCCCCCGAAAAAAAACAACCCCUGCUCGAGGGAUCUGCCUCUGAUACAUACCGACAACGUAGUAUCACGUAUGGACUAUAUAUGUAUAUCAAAAUCGACGUAACUCGUAUCCCACUCAGAUUCUGUACACGAUUGCCAGAGAAAGCCCAGGAAGCGUUACGAAUUCACGAGGGUCUCCAGAGUUUCAUUGGAGGACUCUAUCGGUAGGAUAAUCUACCCCGUGACUGGUACAUGUGUUUUAGGGAUGAUUAGCCCUCGAGCAACUAAGCAAACAGGGAUUAUAUCCAAAGGCAAUAUCGAUAAGUACACAUCCCCCGUUAAGACUGUAUACAUUAUCAUACACGCGUUAUCAGCCGAGAUUGUUUACCCCUUGUCAAAUAUUAAUUAAUUUUAUUAAUAUAAUAAUAUUUAUUAUCACAGCCCAGUGGCGACUUCCUAUAAAAAUAACGAUUUCGUUAAUGGAGUCUAUCGGCUCCGAUUGACCUAAUCGUAAUUAAAAUCAAAAUCUUAACGUCGUACCUUUAUAACCCUGAUUAGUGGUUAUCACCGAGGCUCUUGUGAAACUCGAAAUAAUUAUUACGUAACGUCGUAUUACAGCCAUGGCGCGUACAUAAAACUGAUAAAAAUCGGCAUUAAGGUACAGAGAGGUCGCUGCACUAGGGGUCGUUUUUAUCGUCGGCAAAUAGAGAUAAGGGUCUUAUCAGGCAGUGGGAUUUUAAUGCGGUUUCCUGACAGAGAUGCAUUUAAAGUGCAUCGAGGACUCGAAGUCUGCAUAAGGAAAAUUAAGUAAACGGCUGGUAUGUCAGUUAGGUAAUUUAAAGAAAAAAAAUGCAGUUUCUUAUGCGAUUCACGCUUACGAGCAGCGGUUCAUUAUGCAAUUUUCAAAGCCUACAAUGACGUCUAGACUGAGACGGUUUUAGGUAAUUUCAUCGAGAGCCUCGAUCUGGGUGGAUGGUUGGUACCCCUGAGAAGGGGUUGCAAGUGACAAAGGACAAGGGCUGUAAUCGAAAACCGAUAAUGCAACGAUGCAUCAAACCGACCACCACCACCGGCACACACUUCCAAUCCGGCCGAGUCGGAUUAUGCAACCAACCAAAGUGCAUGCUUGCAUAGCUAGAUAGUAGAUGAAAUUCCGAAUCAAUGUUUCAUAAAUAAAUUGCUCGUUACAAGGGUUUACAUAUACAGUAUAUAUAUUGUAUAUAAUUUGAAUGUAGUCAUAACGUAAGCACACGCUAGAUAUGCACGUAGCCAAUGGCACCGAUUGCGUCAUCGAAUUGCACAGUAGCAUCGCGGUUUGUAUUGUUAAUUGCCCGAUACAAUUGUUUACGGGCUAGAAAUUAUGCACCGAUAACGAUGCAAUUUUCACUUGCAUGUUUGGAAAUCGGACGAAUCACCGAAUAUAUUCUGAAUUUGUUUAUCUAAAGUUUGCCUUUACUUCAUUCGUUUGUCCGCUGCAGAUUCGUAUCCGUGACACGUGGGGUAUCGAUAUUUAAAAAAUCAUACAACUUUUUUAUCCCUCAAACGGAACCUCGAUAAAACCGCAGUUUUUUUUUCGGGGAGCCCAUUGUCAUAUCCAAAUGCAAUCCGACUGCAAUAUAACGGUGCAAUCAUUUGGUGCAGCGGUUCGAGGACACAAUGGAUACGAAAAUAAA